AACAUAGUGUACUGCCUCAGACCAGAGCCCUACUCCCAACAUAGUGUACUGCCUCAGACCAGAGCCCUACUCCCAACAUAGUGUACUGCCUCAGACCAGAGCCCUACUCCCAACAUAGUGUACUGCCUCAGACCAGAGCCCUACUCCCAACAUAGUGUACUGCCUCAGACCAGAGCCCUACUCCCAACAUAGUGUACUGCUUUAGGUUUGAGGUAAGGACCAGCAGACACUGUGGCUCAGGAGAGGAGGGGCCCUGCAGGACCCGGUGUGUGUUCGGAGGAGAGGAGAGGAGGGAGGAAGAGAGGAAAGAGGAGAGGAGGGAGGAGGCUAAUCUAAUUUAGACGAUCUGAUUGUGUUUAAUUUCAUCAUUAGGUGCUGAGUUCUAACCUGGGUCAACGACACACACUGCAAAUACUCUGUACUGUACUAUAAUACUAUGUACUAUAAUAUAAUACUCUGUACUAUAAUAUAAUACUCUGUGCUAUACUAUAAUACUCUGUACUGUACUAUAAUACUCUGUACUAUAAUACUCUGUACUGUAGUAUAAUACUCUGUACUAUACUAUAAUACUCUGUACUAUACUAUAAUACUCUGUACUAUAAUAUAAUACUCUGUACUAUAAUACUCUGUACUAUAAUAUAAUACUCUGUACUAUAAUACUCUGUACUAUAAUAUAAUACUCUGUGCUGUACUAUAAUACUCUGUACUGUACUAUAAUACUCUGUACUAUACUAUAAUACUCUGUACUAUAAUACUCUGUACUAUAAUACUCUGUACUGUACUAUAAUACUCUGUACUAUACUAUAAUACUCUGUACUAUAAUACUCUGUACUAUACUAUAAUACUCUGUACUAUAAUACUCUGUACUAUAAUACUCUGUACUGUACUAUAAUACUCUGUACUAUACUAUAAUACUCUGUACUAUACUAUAAUACUCUGUACUAUGCUAUAAUACUCUGUACUGUACUAUAAUACUCUAAUACUCUGUACUAUACUAUAAUACUCUGUACUAUACUAUAAUACUCUGUACUAUACUAUACUAUGCUGUACUAUACUAUAAUACUCUGUACUAUAAUACUCUGUACUAUACUAUAAUACUCUGUACUAUACUAUAAUACUCUGUACUAUACUAUCAUACUCUGUACUAUACUAUAAUACUGUAUACCACACCUGGGUCACACAGGUGAUAUGAUACUAUAAUACUCUGUACUACUCUGUGGAUCUCAGCUGUGUGACCCCAGGUGUGGAUCUCAGCUGUGUGACCCCAGGUGUGGAUCUCAGCUGUGUGACCCCAGGUGUGGAUCUCAGCUGUGUGACCCCAGGUGUGGAUCUCAGCUGUGUGACCCCAGGUGUGGAUCUCAGCUGUGUGACCCCAGGUGUGGAUCUCAGCUGUGUGACCCCAGGUGUGGAUCUCAGCUGUGUGUACAGUUUAAUAUUUUAGCAUUAUCAUUUCAUCCCUUUAAAAAGCCUUAAAUAUUUCUAAUUUUUUCUUGUUGUUUUAUCUAGGGAACUUUUACUUUUACCAUUAAAGAAUGUUUUUAAUGUUAAGGAGGAAGACUUUAUUUUGUAAUGUUGCAGACUGCUUUCAGAACAGGACUUUUAUUUUGUAAUGUUGCAGACUGCUUGUUGCAGACUGCUUCAGAACAGGACUUUUAUUUUGUAAUGUUGCAGACUGCAUCAGAACAGGACUUUUAUUUUGUAAUGUUGCAGACUGCAUCAGAACAGGACUUUUAUUUUGUAAUGUUGCAGACUGCUUCAGAACAGGACUUUUAUUUUGUAACGUUGCAGACUGCUUCAGAACAGGACUUUUAUUUUGUAAUGUUGCUUCAGAACAGGACUUUUAUUUUGUAAACGUUGCAGAGAGAGAAGCGCGUUUCAGAUCGGUACAUGGGUGUUUGUGACUUGCAGGGAAGGAGGUAGAACCUUCUGGAAGCCUGCUUCCCUAAUGGCAUUCUGUACCCUACAUAGUGCACUACUGCAGACCUCCAGAAGGCUAUAACUUCCAUCUCCCUUCCCUACAAGUCAACAAACCCCAUGUCCUGAUCUGAAACGUGCUUCUCUCUCUGCAACGUUACAGAAUAAACAAGACUGUAAUACUCUGUAAGCAGGAAUAACCUUUUUUUGUCAGGGGAAUUGAAAGGUGGGACCAACUCAACUUAACUACACAGCUACAAUUUAUAACUUAAAAAAAUAAAUUAUAAUAAUCUGACUCUCCCUUUUUCUUUCUCUCUGACUCUGUCCUGUGACUCCUCACCCUCCUGUUUCUCUCUGACUCUGUCCUGUGACUCCUCACCCUCCUGUUUCUCUCUGACUCUGUCCUGUGACUCCUCACCUCCUGUUUCUCUCUGACUCUGUCCUGUUUGACUCCUCACCCUCCUGUUUCUCUCUGACUCUGUCCUGUUUGACUCCUCACCCUCCUGUUUCUCUCUGACUCUGUCCUGUUUGACUCCUCACCCUCCUGUUUCUCUCUGACUCUGUCCUGUGUGACUCCUCACCCUCCUGUUUCUCUCUGACUCUGUCCUGUGUGACUCCUCACCCUCC